rnacentral:lncRNA from 1 species
GAGCAGAAAGCAGAGAGAAAGAGGGACGGGGAGGCGGGGCUGGACUGGAGGAGAGGGACAGCGGAGGAGAAAGGCGAUCCAGCGGCGGAGCUCGGGGAAGAAUCGCAGAGAGGAACAGAAAUCAAACACUGGAGGGAACUGAAAUUAGUCCUUUCCAUAGAUAAAGCGAGGCAACUGCUUCAGGGAGCACAGGGAUUGGGGAGCGGCAGCAACAAUAUUUGCACACUAUGGGGCCAAAGCUGGAGUCAGAAGGUGGAUCUACAUCAGACGUGGGCAAAUUUCAGCCCAGGUGUGAGACUUCUACUCUCACAAUUCCUAAGAGCCGGUAGGCUGGGUUGCUGUGAGUUUUAUAGCCAUGUUCCAGAAGCAUUCUCUCCUGACGUUUUGCCCACAUCUAUGGCAGGCGUCCUCAGAGUCUUGGAAACUAGGCAAGUGGGGUUUAUAUAUCUGUGGAAUGAUGUCCAGAGUGGGAGAAAGAAAUCUUGUCUGUCUGAGGCAAGUGUGAAUGUUGAAAUUGAUCACGGUAAUUAGCAUUAAAUAGCCAGGCAGCUUCAAAGCCUGGACAUCUCCUGACUGAGGGAAUCCUUCGUUGGGAGGUGUUAACUGGCCCUGAUUGUUUCUUGUCUGGAAUUCCCCUUUCUUGUGAGUGUUGUUUAUUUACUGUCCUGACUUAAAAGUUGUUUUUUUUACUAUUGGUAGCCAGAUUUUGUUCAUUUUCAUGGUUUCCUCUUUUCUGUUGAAAUUGUCCACAUGCUUGUGGAUUUCAAUGUCUUCUCUGUGUAGUCUGACAAGGUGGGUGUUAGGAUUCCCUCAGGUAGGAAGCAGCCAGGCUUUGAAGCUGCCAGGCUAUUCAAUGCUAAUCAUGCUGGCCAAUUACAACAUUCACACUUGCCUCGGGCAGUCAAGAGUUCUUUCUCCCACCCUGGACCUUCCACAGAUAUAUAAACCUCACUUGCCUAGUUUUGAAUAGACCUCACAACCUCUGAGGAUGGUUGCCAUAGAUGCAGGCGAAACGUCAGGAGAGAAUGCUUCUGGCACGUGGCCAUACAGCCCGGAAAACUCACAGCAACCCAGUGAUUCCGGUCAUGAAAACCUUCGAAACCCCACCUCUGAGUGUUCGCCAGGAAAGGCUUACAUUUUUGGGGUUUUUUUUCAAUGUUCAAGAGAUGGUAUUUAACAUCCGGCUCCCAAAGAGUGCAUCUACAUCAUAAGAUUAAUGCAGUUUGACACUGCUUGAACUGCCACAGCUUAAUGCUAUAGAAUUUUACACAGUCGUUGAUGUUGAAGAGAAACAGAUUAAUAAUAAUAAUAAUAAUAAUAAUAAUAAUAAUAAUUUGGAAACAAUAGUCAUUGAUAAAAUUACGAUCUGCCAACUGCAAAAGGCCACCCUACUGGGAUCUGCGCGCAUCAUCCGAAAAUACAUCACACAGUCCUAGACACUUG